GUCUAUGGCCUUACCAUCCCGAAUGUGCCUGAUCUCGGAAGCUAAGCAGGGUUGGUUUGGUUAGUACGUGGAUGGGAGAAGAAAUAACUAGCUGAGACU
rnacentral:rRNA from 10 species